rnacentral:rRNA from 1 species
ACGCGGGGCGGCGGGCCUACAAUGCAAGUCGAGCGGAUGAGAAGAGCUUGCUCUUCGAUUCAGCGGCGGACGGGUGAGUAAUACCUAGGAAUCUGCCUGGUAGUGGGGGACAACGUUUCGAAAGGAACGCUAAUACCGCAUACGUCCUACGGGAGAAAGCAGGGGACCUUCGGGCCUUGCGCUAUCAGAUGAGCCUAGGUCGGAUUAGCUAGUUGGUGAGGUAAUGGCUCACCAAGGCUACGAUCCGUAACUGGUCUGAGAGGAUGAUCAGUCACACUGGAACUGAGACACGGUCCAGACUCCUACGGGAGGCAGCAGUGGGGAAUAUUGGACAAUGGGCGAAAGCCUGAUCCAGCCAUGCCGCGUGUGUGAAGAAGGUCUUCGGAUUGUAAAGCACUUUAAGUUGGGAGGAAGGGCAGUAAGCGAAUACCUUGCUGUUUUGACGUUACCGACAGAAUAAGCACCGGCUAACUCUGUGCCAGCAGCCGCGGUAAUACAGAGGGUGCAAGCGUUAAUCGGAAUUACUGGGCGUAAAGCGCGCGUAGGUGGUUCGUUAAGUUGGAUGUGAAAUCCCCGGGCUCAACCUGGGAACUGCAUCCAAAACUGGCGAGCUAGAGUAGGGCAGAGGGUGGUGGAAUUUCCUGUGUAGCGGUGAAAUGCGUAGAUAUAGGAAGGAACACCAGUGGCGAAGGCGACCACCUGGGCUCAUACUGACACUGAGGUGCGAAAGCGUGGGGAGCAAACAGGAUUAGAUACCCUGGUAGUCCACGCCGUAAACGAUGUCAACUAGCCGUUGGAAUCCUUGAGAUUUUAGUGGCGCAGCUAAACGCAUUAAGUUGACCGCCUGGGGGAGUACGGCCGCAAGGUUAAAACUCAAAUGAAUUGACGGGGGGCCCGCACAAGCGGUGGAGCAUGUGGGUUUAUUUCGAAGCAACGCGAAGACCUUUACCAGGGCUUGACAUCCAAUGAACUUUCCAGAGAUGGAUUGGUGCCUUCGGGAACAAUUGACACAGGUGCUGCAUGGCUGUCGUCAGCUCGUGUCGUGAGAAUGUGGGGUAAGUCCCGUAACGAGCGCAACCCUUGUCCUUAGUUACAGCACGUUAUGCGGGCUACUCCUAGGAGACUGCCGGUGACA